AACGAACGCUGGCGGCAUGCCUAACACAUGCAAGUCGAACGAAGGCUUCGGGCUUAGUGGCGCACGGGUGCGUAACGCGUGGGAAUCUGCCCUUGGGUUCGGAAUAACGUCCCGAAAGGGAUGCUAAUACCGGAUGAUGUCGUAAGACCAAAGAUUUAUCGCCCUAGGAUGAGCCCGCGUCGGAUUAGCUAGUUGGUGAGGUAAAAGCCCACCAAGGCGACGAUCCGUAGCUGGUCUGAGAGGAUGAUCAGCCACACUGGGACUGAGACACGGCCCAGACUCCUACGGGAGGCAGCAGUGGGGAAUAUUGGACAAUGGGCGAAAGCCUGAUCCAGCAAUGCCGCGUGAGUGAUGAAGGCCUUAGGGUUGUAAAGCUCUUUUACCCGGGAUGAUAAUGACCGUACCGGGAGAAUAAGCUCCGGCUAACUCCGUG
rnacentral:rRNA from 1 species